CAAAAUUCAAACUCUUUGUUGUAUAAAACUAAACAAUAACAUUGAUUUAAUUUAUUUUUAUUUGGAUUUAUUUUUAACAAAAGAAUCCAAACCAGAGCGAUUAGCGUUACCCAAAAUGUACUAUUGGAAAAACUGGACGCUAAACUCUGUGAAUGCACUUCAAAUGGAAGACGAUGCUGCGAACACCAAUGAUCAUCAUCAACAACAACAACAACCGGAACAAGAACAUGAAUAUCGAAAGCUGCAAUUUACCAUUGUUUGGCUUCCAGACAUUGUUGCGGCAAGGGGCAUAAUGUACAAAGCUCUGUGUUUCAUUUUUGAUUUAGCAUUGAUAAGUUUGUUUGUAAGACCACCACAACCUCGAAGACCACCGUAUCGUAAAAAACCACCGGUACGCAGACAGCCAAAAGAAAAUGUAAAUUUUCUUCCAGUCCAAGUAAACAAUAAUGAUCAACCAGCAUCAAUCAAUUGAAGAAAAGAAAACUUGUUAACUAAAAUAGUUAUUACCAAAGUUUGUUUUUGUGGCUUUGAUUUGUACAUAAUAUCUGAGAUAUUGUGUAUAAAGUACCCCACGCCCGCAUUCGACCAUCAAUAUAUACCCCGAUAAUGGAUGAAUUUGCUCCAACAAUUGUUUAGUGAGUAGUUUAACAAAAAGAUGGCACCAAAAAAUACACCUGGUCAACGAAUUUACAUUUCGCCGGAAAAAUAUUUAUCUAUUUCUUUCGGAACUACUGAUGGGAAAACUCUGACAUUGCACAAAUAUUAAACGCACACUCUUUACAAGACAAUUUGCCACCGCCUACAGCACUUUGGAUGUUGAUUUAAGAGCUGACAGCCGAGGAAAUAUCUGGUCUGUCGUCCAAAUUAAAUAUCAAACAAAUUUAUCAAAUAUUGUUUGGAGUCAUUGCUCGGACCAAUCAUAUCACUGCUAAGAGAUUCUCUCGAAACUGAUGUUGUUCCACAAAUAUGGAAGACAUCAUAUGUACGACCAGUUUACAAAAACGGUGACAGAAACAACAUCGAAUAUUACCGGAGUGUUGCUCUUCAGUCUUCAGUGUAUGGUGUCUAAAUUACUUGAUUCAAUCGUCACAAACCAUCUCAAUCUAUAUCUGACGAACAUUGUUUACGAAAACCAGCAUGGAUUCAUCAAGAACAGGUCAACAACGAUAACAAACUUGGCAGAAUUUACAUCAAAUACGAUUAUCAACAUGGGUAAAGGUACCAUUUAGCAUCGCAAAGGUUUUUGAUUCUGUAAACAUCAAUUACUAAUUCAAAAGCUAGAAAUAAUGGAUCUUAAAAUGGAUCGAAUCUUAUUUGUUUCACAGAUAUUGGAUACCAAAUCAGUCAAAUCAUUUGAUGAAGGUAAUCGAUCAAGUUUUUCUCACCGAUAAAAUUGUCUAGAAUGUGUUGGAAGAACACAUAAGAUGGUAAACGAUGUUUUUUUUUAUUGCUAUGAGACCCUUUAAAAUGAAACGGGCGUUAAAAUCGCGAUGUGAAUAAUGCUUUGAAGAAAAUUGAGUGGUAUCCAAAUUUCCUUCAUUUUUCUACAUUUAGCCCACUUUAAAAUAAAUAGAUUCAUAUUCAUUUCCGUCAGCAGAAAUGUGUAUUUUUUUAAUGAUAAAUGUCUCUUGUUGAACCAAAAUUUUAUGUUAUGAAUUACUAUUAACGUAAUGUGCCCAGUUACAGGAGACCUAAUAAGCUUGUUUGAAUUUGAACUAUUCUAGAGAAAAAAAUAUGUUAUAUUUCUUAUUACUCUUUUCGUAGAUCGCUUCGUUAUUCAUUUCUCUCUCAAAAUAUUUCUAUAUAUUGGGUGUAUCAAUUAAUUUUUACCGCUGACUGUUAGAUGUCGCCACUUGUCCGAGAUAUCGUUUCGAAAUGCUGAAGAAGUGCGAAAAUGGAUCGAUGACUGGAUAGCUUCAAAAGAUGAGGAAUUCUUUCGACGCGGAAUCGACAAGCUACCAAGAAGAUGGGCGGAAGUCAUAGCUAACAAUGGGCAAUACAUCGGUUAAAAAAUAUUGUACGCUUUCUUUAAAAUAAACUUACAUUUUCACCCAAAAAACGGUAAAAAUUAAUUGAUACACCCAAUA